rnacentral:lncRNA from 1 species
AUUUUUCAGCCCUGUGCUCGGUGGGGAUAUCAUUAAGAUAAGAUACGUGGUAUUACGUGUUUAUUUUCCGAACGUGUGUGACGUGAGUGUUUUUACUUGUUUCGGUGGUAAACCCUGUUUGGGCCUUUUCGCUAUCGCGGGGUGUUAUCCGAACAAGCUACUUGGUUCGAUUGCGUUCGUGAGAGUGUGUGCGAUAUAUCUUGCUCGACUUCGACUCCG